rnacentral:rRNA from 1 species
CCUACGGGUGGCAGCAGUGAGGAAUAUUGGUCAAUGGCCGCGAGCCUGAACCAGCCAAGUCGCGUGAAGGAAGACUGCCCUACGGGUUGUAAACCUCUUUUAUCGAGGAGUAAAGUGAGGCACGUGUGCCUCUUUGAAAGUACCUGAAGAAUAAGCAUCGGCUAACUCCGUGCCAGCAGCCGCGGUAAUACGGAGGAUGCGAGCGUUAUCCGGAUUUAUUGGGUUUAAAGGGUGCGGAGGUGGGAUGUUAAGUCAGCUGUGAAAGUUCGGGGCUCAACCCUGAAAUUGCAGUUGAUACUGGAAGCCUUGAGUGCAGGAGAGGUAGGCGGAAUGCGUGGUGUAGCGGUGAAAUGCUUAGAUAUCACGCAGAACUCCGAUUGCGAAGGCAGCAUACUA